AUUUUCCCCACAAAUUCUUUGGACAACCGCACCACCACCUAUUUCAUUUGAUGACAAUUUUAAGGCAAACAGCAUCCAAAACUGACAAGACAGCAGAUACCCUGGCUAAUCUUUUGAAGGUUUAUGAUGAGCAGGAACUGCAUGAUGUCAGUUCAUGAUGGACUACUGUUAUCAGAGGUCUUUUGGUCUUGCUGCGUGAGCGUGACUGGGGAUUCUUUAGGACCACCCUGAUUAAUAAUCCUGAAGCGCUGACUGAAGAUGCUUUAUUGGCCCUGCAGUCACUGAGGGUCUCUGCUGUCCUGAAGAAUGAAUUGGACACCACCCACAGCACACUUCCAGACCUUUUUUGUCUUGUUUGAAUUAAUGUAUGCUCUUCACUCAGUAUAUAGUAAAGGACUUUGAACUUGUACAAAAAGUUUCGCUUGGCAUGGAUGAUAGAAAAUAGA